rnacentral:rRNA from 1 species
UACGGGGGGGGCAAGCGUUGUUCGGAAUUACUGGGCGUAAAGGGCUCGUAGGUGGCCAACUAAGUCAGACGUGAAAUCCCUCAGCUUAACUGGGGAACUGCGUCUGAUACUGGAUGGCUUGAGUUUGGGAGAGGGACGCGGAAUUCCAGGUGUAGCGGUGAAAUGCGUAGAUAUCUGGAGGAACACCGGUGGCGAAGGCGGCAUCCUGGACCGAGAUUGACGCUGAGGCGCGAAAGCCAGGGGAGCAAACGGG